CAGCCCCAGCCCCUGACAUAUUAUUUUGUUAUUAAAACAAAACUAAUGGUGCUGGGUGCAGUGGCACAUGCCUGUAAUCCCAGUGGCUUAGGAGGCCGAGGUGCGAGGACAGCUAGCUCCAAUCCAGGGUCAGCAAGUUAGCAAGGCCCUAAGCAACUUAGCAAGACCUUGUCUCAACAUAAAAUAUAAAAAAAAAGUCCUGAGGAUGUGGCUCAGUGGUUUAGCGCCCCUGGGUUCAAUCCCCGGUACCAAAAACAAACAAAAAUAACUAAUGGACUUUUUUUUUUAGAGCAGUUUCUAAUUCACAGCAAAACUAAGCAGAAAGUGGAGUUCCCAUGCACUGCCACCCAGACAGGAGCCUCCACACCAGCAACAGCUCCGCACCCCCAGGGUGGUGCGUGUUGUCCCGGGGGCACCUACACUCACACGUGGCCAUGGUCUCCUUCAGUACUGGCACUUGGUGUUUGGGUUUGGACAGAUGUGUGGUAACACCCAUCCACCAUCACAGUGUCACACACAGGAGCUUCGCUGCCCUAAAAACCCUCUGUGCUGCCCUGUGCAUCCCUGUCUGCCCUGGCAACCGCGUUCUCACUGUCACUGCAGUGUGACCUUCCCCAGUUUGUGAUACAGUUGAGCUCAUACACAAUGCAGCCUUUUCAGAUUGACAUUAUUUUUAUCAUUCUUAGAAGUUUUUGUCCCUAAGUACACACUGUUAUUUGAUGAGUAUUAAUGAAUCAGAUAAGGAAAAUAGCAAACAUAUUGUUUAGCAGCCUUGUUCAUUUUUGUGUGCUGGGGUGCUCAGGAGUGCUCAACCACUGAGCCACAUCCCCAGCCCUUUUUGUUGUUUGAUUUGAGACAGGGCCUUUAAGCUGCCCAGUUAGCCUUGAACUUCCUGCCUCAACCUACCUGCUGAGUUGCUGGGAUUACAGGCGUGCCUCACCAUACCCAGACUGUUCAGUAGUUUUCUUAAGCUGACGCUGUGUAAAUCUUGGUAUAUUUUCUUGUCAGUGUAUAUAAGAGAUAAUAAUGGUAAUAGCAGUAACAGCUAACCAUUGAACAUGUACUAUGUGCCUUGUACUUUCUGCUGUAAGUGUUCUCCAUGUGUGAUGUGGGCUGAGCUGGGUCCCCCUAAACUUCAUAUGCCGAGGCCCUAACCCCCAGGGUUUCAGAGUGCAGGGGGAGAGGGAGCCUUGCAGAGGUGAUGAUGUCAGUAUGGUGACCGGUAAUCAAUGUGACCGGCGUUCUUGUGAGAGGACGGGAGCGUAGGACAGAGACAUACACAGAGCAAAGGUCAUGUGAAGAUGGGGGGAGAAGGUGAGUGUGCAAGCCACCACCUCAGGAGAAACAGCCCUGCCCACCCCCAUGGAGACCGCCAGCCUCCAAACUGGGAGGAAAUCAGUUCUGAUGUUCAAACCUCCCAGUCUUGACUUGGCUCUGGAGUCUCCAGAAGAUGAAUAUAAAUGUGUAACCCGUGUUCUCAGCUCAGCUUCAACAGGUAGGAACUCUGGUCCCUGUUACCAGGGAGGAGCCAGACACGAGAGACUAGAGAACGUCCCAAGGUCUCCCAUGCUAUCACAGCAGGAGAGACUAAGUCACAGUUCUGGUCCUCGCAGUGCAGCGGGCUGGGCCAGGGCAUGUGUUCUUCAGAGUCCCUCCGGCGCAGGCUGAGGGAGCGCCACACCAACAGCUUCCAUGUCCCCAGGCGGAGGACCUCGCAUUGGCCUGCCCAUCACUCCACUUAGUCACCCCCAUGACCGCAGGUCAUAAGGCCCCACGUCACAUGAAGGCAUGUUGAAGCACAGCCCGCCAUCUACCCAGAGGAAGAGGACUGGGACAUGCCAUCGUGAACAGCACGUGGCACCACACAGGGCAGAGGAGGGACGUGGGUAGGUGAGGUUCACACCGAUGCUCAUUCUAGAUUCUUUUUUAUGCAUCUCUUCCCCUACCUGGUGCUCACUGGUGUCCUGCCACUAUAAGAAAACAAUCAUUAUGCGCACAACACCUUCCCGAGGCCCGGGGAGUCACUCUAGUGAAUAGUCAAACCUGAGGGCAGUUGUCAGGAACCCCCGGUCCGUAGUCACUGGUAUUGAAGGGGCCCCUGAAAAUCCCCGCAAUAUGGCUGAUAUCUGAAAUAAAGAUGGUCUUGGUACCUUCGACCUUGAAAUCUUGCAAACUCAUUGUGCUUGGUGUCAGAAGUCUUGGUACGCCAGGCUGUCUGGGGGACUGUGCCCUUAACCUUGAGCUGGCCCAACUCACAUUUCUUGCGGGGUCUCCAGCUUUACUCUCUGGUUUUUCCCGCUCACUCUUACCCCCAUCAGAUGCUCCCUAAAGUACUGUGUCUCUUGGACGCCCCUGGCUCCUUCACGGCUCAGCGACCUCACACAUGCCAUUUCUUUUGUGUAACUUGGUUUUCCUGGGCGGCUCAAGGUGACUACUCAUCAUUCCUGAUUAUCUCAGAAGUUUCCUUCACCCAAGGUUGCUCUUUCCUCCACCGCUCGCUCGGCGUUCCUUAGUUCCUCCCUUCCACCUGCGACUGCAGUGCUUUGUACCAGCUUGUGUUGUGGCCUUUCUGUUUGGUUACUGUUACUGUUUGGAUCUGGAGUAUCCCCUACAGCCCACGUGUUAGGCAGUGCAGCCGUGUUCAGAGAUGAGAGGAUUAGGUCACGAGGGCUCAGCCUCAGCAGUGGAUUAAUCCACCUGAUGGUUUAGCAAUUUUGAAUGGUGGUGGUAAAAAGGAUAGGCAGGUGGGACAUGGCAGGAAGUGAGACAUGGGGGGCAUGUGGCCUUGGGGACCAUAUCUGCCCUUUCUAUCUCCUCCUCUGAUUCCUGACUGCCAUGAGUUGAGAGUUUUCUGCCAUGAUGUUCUGACCAGACACAGAGCUGGCAACCAUGGAUUGUAUCCUCUGAAAUCAUGAGCCAAAAGAAAUCUUCUUCCUCUAAGUUGUUCUUGACAGAGAUUUUGGUCACAAUGAUGAAAACCUGACUAGAGCAUUUAUCUAACAGGAGCAAAUACUCCCUAUCAAUGCAGAGUGAGAAGGUGUUCAAGGGAUCGUAAAGGUGGCUCACAAUGACCAUGUCCCACUGAACCCAUGAACAGGUGCUCCUUGACUUGUAAUGUCUUUAUGCCCCAAUAAAGUCAUUGUAAGUUGAAAAAUACGAAUGCAUUGAAUACACCCAGCCUUCUACAACCAUAGCCAAGCCUACAUCAAAUGUGCUCAGAAUGCUUACAACAGCCUACAGUUGGACAGAAUCAUGUAACACAAAGCCCAUUUUACAAGAAAGUAUUGAAUAUCUCAUGCAAUUUGUUGAAUAUUGUACUGAGAAAGAAAAGCAGAAUGGUUGUAUGGAUAUGCUCUGCAUCACCAUGAAGUCAAACAAUCCUCUCAGACCAUCAUAAGACGGGGGCCAUCUGUGUAUGUGCAGUCCCCACCGUCACUGAGGGACUGCCAUGACUUGUGUUAACCAAUAGAACAUAGUGGAAAUAAUGUGCCAAUUCUAGGGCCACCAAUUAAGAGGGAUGCCAGCCUCUGCUUCAUUUUCUUGGACUUGUCCUUGGCACCCAGCUGCCAUGCUGUAAGGAAGCCCAGGCAGCCAUGUGGAGAGACCAUGUGGAGAGAGAGAGCCCAGGCUCUCUGGGAGGGAGAAAGGUUUAGAGGUUCCUUCCUGCCUCACUGGAAAGCUUCCAGAUGAUGUCAGCCCCUCCUGCCAUCUGUCUGCAACUGCCUGUGACACACAAGACCAGCAAAUCAACCCUGAGGAUCACAGGAUAAUGACAUGGUUGUUGUUUCAAGCCACUGAGGUAUGGGUUUGGAGCCCAUUAGGUGGGUAAGUCAUCCACAUAAAAAUAGUCGGUAUUUCUGGGUAUGGUGGCACACACUUGUAAACCCAGUGACUCAGAAGCUGAGGCAGGAGUAUCACAAGUUCCAGACCAGCUUUAGCAACUUAGUGAGACCUUGUAUCAAAAAAUAAAAGGGGGUUGGAAUGUGGCCCAGCAGUAGAGCACCCCUGGAUUCAAUGCACAGUACCCCCCACCCACCCACACAAAGAUCCUCAUUGCUUGGCUAUUCUAUUCCCAUAGCACAGACAAUAAUACAAGAGGAAAGUA
rnacentral:lncRNA from 1 species